rnacentral:rRNA from 1 species
CGUAAUACGGGGGGUGCAAGCGUUAUUCGGAUUUACUGGGCGUAAAGCGCGCGUAGGCGGCCGUUUAAGUCAGAUGUGAAAGCCCGGGGCUCAACCCCGGAAGUGCAUUUGAUACUAUUCGGCUUGAGUAUGGGAGAGGGAAGUGGAAUUCCUGGUGUAGAGGUGAAAUUCGUAGAUAUCAGGAGGAACACCGGUGGCGAAGGCGACUUCCUGGACCAAUACUGACGCUGAGGCGCGAAGGCGUGGGUAGCAAACAGGAUUAGAUACCCUGGUAGUCCACGCAGUAAACGGUGAUCACUAGGUGUAGCGGGUAUUGACCCCUGCUGUGCCGCAGCUAACGCAUUAAGUGAUCCGCCUGGGGAGUACGGCCGCAAGGUUAAAACUCAAGG